rnacentral:rRNA from 1 species
AUGGUCUUUGAUACGGAUGAUGCAGCUUACAACUUUUACAAUGAGUAUGCCUCAAUUGCUGGUUUUUCUGUGAAGAAGGCAGCUCGCUUUUGUGGCAAGAAACAAAGAGGCAGUGCACCAACUUGGGUAACUUUCAAGUUCAAUCGGUCAGGAGGAGUAAUUGACGAAGAAGAACAAGAGAAUAGGAGGAAGAAACGACGUGACACAAGGCAACAGAAGACAGGACAAGAGCCCUAUCAGAACGCGAGGAAGAAAAAAGCAAACACCAUUGCAAUAACAGGGUGUAAAGCUCAACUCAUUGUCACCAAGAAGGAUGAGAAGUGGGUGAUAACAACCAUAAACCUAGAACACAACCAUGAUUUGAGUCCUCACAUAGAAGUGAAAUACCUUCGUUCUCAUAAGCACAGGACAGAGGAAGAGAAGCUCCUAAUCCGAACAUUCAAUGUUGUGAAGCUACCAACAUGAAAAAUAAUGGCAAUCCUAAGUUACUUGAGAGGCGGAAAUACUCCUUGAACCAAAAAGCAUGUCAGCAAUGUUAGGAUAGCCAUUGGCAAAGAGAGCAAUCAAAAUGACAUGAUGCAGGUGCUAACAUAUUUCAGGAAGAGACAAGCUGAAGAUCCACAAUUUUACUAUGCGUUCAAGACAACUAAAGUCUCUGAUGAAGCAAGUAAAGUUUUCUGCAUUUUCUGGGCUGACGAGUAUUCUAGGAAAAUGUACGAGUUGUACGGAGACUGCCUCAGCUUUGACACAACAUUUAAGACAAACAGAUACAACCUUCCAUUUGCUCCCUUUGUUGGAAUCACAUGACAUGGCCAAAACUGUUUGUUUGCUUGCUCUAUCAUUGAGAAUGAAAUAGCUGACACCUUCCAAUGGUUGUUUGAGACGUUCUUGCAUUGCAUGGGUGGAAAAUCUCCAUCCAUAAUCAUCACGGAUGAGGAUCCUGGGAUGAAGACAGCUAUCCCUCUAGUUUUCCCCCAUAUCUGCCACAGACGCUAUUUGUUUCAUAUUAAAAAGAAGGCUGAGGAAAAACGUACUAGGACUUUUGCGGCAAAUAAAACACAUGAUGAUUUCACUGACAUCAUAGAGAACUCUCUCACGGUGGCUGAGUUUGAGAACUUGUGGACAGAGAUGUUGCAGAAAUACAACAUUGGGCAUGUGAAGUAUUUCCAAAUCAUGUGGAAGAAAAGGAAAAGGUUUGUCCCUAUGUAUUUCAAGAAGAACUUCUUCCCCUUCAUUCCCUCUACUACACGUAGUGAAGGCACCAAUGCCAUUUUCAAGGACAACAUCGCGUCAACUCACAACGUGAUAAGCUUCCUACAAGAGUACUAGAAGAUUUCAUAAACUAUACAAGAUAAGGAGCGGGAGCAAGACUCUAUCACUAGAACAACUUCGCCAACAUUGUGGGCACGAAGUGAACUUGAGUUGGAAGCAGCAAAAAUGUACAACCGGAAGAUAUUCUACAGAUUCCAACAACAUAUAAAGUUUGUGUUGAAUUAUCAUGUUGAAGAGGUUGAGAGAAAUAUGCAAUAUGAAGUUUACAAGACACCAAUGCUAGCUGAAAAAGAUUUCAGAACAAGAAGAUAUGUUGUGAUUGUGAACAUGCAGCAAUAGGAAUUCAGUUGUAUCUGUGGGAAAUUUUAGAAGGAUGGCAUUGUGUGCUGCCAUGUCUUGAGAGUACUUUCUCAUCUCAACAUGUCAACGCUGCCAGAGAAAUAUUACAUAGACAGAUGGAGGCCAAAAAAUACAAAGGACAUACGGGACAUCCGUUUCAAUGUUCCUUUGGAACUGACUGCUGGAAGUCAGCACCUAGGGUAUACCCUGCUAUCCAACAGGCUCAAUGACUUGGCCUCAGAUGAUGCAUCAACAAACAGAAAAUAUCUAUAUGUUGUAGGAGAGAGUGAAAGGGUGCAACAAAGGCUGGAUGAGAUGACUAAAUAAGAUAAACUUGCAUAAGUGCAACAAGCAAAUGUUGACAAGGACACAACGGAGUCUGAUGCAGCACGGCAUCCUGAUGGCUAUGGACACAAACUUGAGGAUCCUGAUGUUGCAGUGUCAAAAGGGCGCCCACGAAAAGGACGUUACAAAACUUUCAUGGAAGGGUUAGCAUCUAAACAGAAAGUCACAUGCAGUCGGUGUGGGGGGCCUGAUCAUUAUAGAAAUUCUUGUACUGCAAAACCUGAAGAUAUCAAUUUGGCUCAGAAAGAAAAAGUAAGCCGCAAACAUAUCUCAGGUUUUGCAUCAAAAACUUUUUCUUUUGGGUGUACAAUGGACUUCUACUUCAAUUUAUUCAUUUUGAUGAAAUGUUUGUGGCCUAAAAUUUUUUUGCAGCCUCAGCUGGGACAUCCACAGACAAGCAGCCAGCUCAUGCAAAACCGAGGAAGAAGGCAAGAAAAGAAAACUGAAAAUUUGGGUGCUAGAAGUUCAAGAAGGCAAAAUGUGCCUGUGAUGACUGAAAAAAUAUAA